GAUUCUGGCUCAGGAUGAACGCUGGCGGCGUGCUUAACACAUGCAAGUCGAACGGAGUAUUAACGCUGCAGAGAUUUCGGUCGAAGCUUGUAAUACUAGUGGCGGACGGGUGAGUAACGCGUGGGUAACCUGCCGUAUGCAGGGGGACAACAGUUGGAAACGGCUGCUAAUACCGCAUAAGCGCACGGUAUUGCAUGAUACAGUGUGAAAAGAUUUAUCGGCAUACGAUGGACCCGCGUUUGAUUAGCUAGUUGGUGAGGUAACGGCUCACCAAGGCGACGAUCAAUUGCCGGCCUGAGAGGGCAAUCGGCCACAUUGGGACUGAGACACGGCCCAAACUCCUACGGGAGGCAGCAGUGGGGAAUAUUGCACAAUGGGGGAAACCCUGAUGCAGCCGACGCCGCGUGAGUGAAGAAGUAUUUCGGUAUGUAAAGCUCUAUCAGCAGGGAAGAUGAUGACGGUACCUGACUAAGAAGCCCCGGCUAACUACGUGCCAGCCGCGGC
rnacentral:rRNA from 1 species